rnacentral:rRNA from 1 species
UACGGAGGGUGCAAACGUUGCUCGGAAUCAUUGGGCGUAAAGCGCACGUAGGCGGCCUGUUAAGUCGGGCGUGAAAGCCCUGGGCUCAACCCAGGAAGUGCACACGAAACUGGCAGGCUUGAAUAUGGAAGAGGGUCGCGGAAUUCCCGGUGUAGAGGUGAAAUUCGUAGAUAUCGGGAGGAACACCAGUGGCGAAGGCGGCGACCUGGGCCAAUAUUGACGCUGAGGCGCGAAAGCUAGGGGAGCAAACGGG